rnacentral:rRNA from 1 species
UACGUAGGUGACAAGCGUUGUCCGGAUUUACUGAGCGUAAAGAGCGCGCAGGCGGUCGAUCAAGUCGAGUGUGAAAGCCCCCGGCUCAACUGGGGAGGGUCAUUCGAUACUGAUCGACUCGAAGGCAGGAGAGGGUAGUGGAAUUCCCGGUGUAGUGGUGAAAUGCGUAGAUAUCGGGAGGAACACCAGUGGCGAAGGCGACUACCUGGCCUGUUCUUGACGCUGAGGCGCGAAAGCUAGGGGAGCAAACGGG